rnacentral:rRNA from 1 species
UACGUAGGGGGCGAGCGUUGUCCGGAAUCAUUGGGCGUAAAGGGCGCGUAGGUGGCCCGGUCAGUUCGUGGUGAAAGCGCGGGGCUCAACUUCGCGUCGGCCAUGAAUACUGCUGGGCUUGAGCACUGUAGAGGCAGGCGGAAUUCCGGGUGUAGCGGUGGAAUGCGUAGAGAUCCGGAAGAACACCGGUGGCGAAGGCGGCCUGCUGGGCAGUAGCUGACACUGAGGCGCGACAGCGUGGGGAGCAAACAGG